CGCCCUUUCCGCUGUUCGCGCCCGGGCGGCGGCAGGGACGUCAGCUCGGGCACGGCCAAUGGCAAGCGCCCACGUCGGGAGAACUCCUCGUGACCGCGCGUCACCAGAGGGCCGUUUCUGUGAUUGUGAUGCCCCUAAGGGGGCCCGCUCCGAAAACCCUGGGACGCUGACACACCUGAUUUUUGGACGCCUUGAAAGGCCUCUAAACGCAGCUGACAGAGAGAAAUCUCACUCCUAACGCGCUGAGGCAGAACUGGUCGAGGGCAGUUCAUUAGUGCUUGCUGCUGCUUUGGUGUAUACCCCAGACUGGUCUGCACAGGCUGCUUUAAGGAGACCUAAACAAGGCUGCUUAUGGCCAGAGGUAUUGGCCCAAAGGGCUCUGGCUUCAUCUGGCCCCUCUCAACUGCCCGUCUCAACUGCUGGAAUCAAUUUCUCACCUACAUUCAGGACACCGGUAUGCCAAAGUCCACUGGUUGGGAUGUGCUAUCAGAAUUGUGUGACUCAUUUUAUGAAUGAGGAUAGUGUUUUUCAGAUCAAGGAGUUGAUUUUUUCCAAGAUUAAUAGCAAAUCAUGGAUAAGUCAUAACUAAAGGAAAAAAUAGAAAUUGAAUGAAAAUAUUUUGGACAGGAGGAAGGUAAUUCUUAGAAGGGAGAAAUUUUAACAUCCUGUAAGCUUUGUUAUCUGCCACCAUAUUUAGAAUAUGCCUAUAGCUUUAUUUUUCUAAAAUCUUGGUUUUUAAAAAAGGACUGUAUUAAGUAAAACACAAAACAAAACAAAAAUCUCUCCCUCUCAAAUCCUAUGACAGAUUCGACCAGAGUAAACAAUGACUUAGUGUAUACCCUUUAACAUUUCUUUUUAGGUCUAAUCAGUGCUUUAAGUAUGUAUGAAUGUGUGUGUAUGUAUGUAUAUAGCCAUAUAUGUAUGUAUAUCCAUAUCUGUUUCAUUUCCUCAAAAAUAUAUCAAACUAUCCAGAUUGAUCUGAAGCUUCCUUUUACCCCUGUUUAACAGACCAGUCAUUUAUUUAUUUAUUUUAUUUUAUCAAAUGUAUGUCACAGUAGUUAGUCCCCCUCCCUUGGUAACCACUAGUCACUUCUCAGAGUGCAUGAGUCUAAUGCUGUCUUGUUCCAUCUGUUUUGCUUUGUUUUGCAUGACCACAAAUAAAUGAAAUUAUAUGGUAUUUGUUUUUCUCCGCCUCAGACCAGUCAUUUAUUGAACAACGUGCCAGAAUAUUUAAACUGCUGGAAAUUCAUCAUAGUCACUUAUGUUACUGAACACUUACCAUGUACCUUGCACUGUUCUAAGCACCUUAAUGUUCCUGAUCUCAUUUAAUUCCCCUAACAACCUUAGCAGUAAGUCCUAUUAUUAUUGCCCUUUUUUCUAGGUAAAUAAACAGGGCUCAGGAAAUUGAGUAAAUUAAUGAGGGUCAUAGGCCUUUCAACUAAAGAGCUGAGGUAAAAUGCCAUGUUAUAGCUGUAUUUAAGCCUUAAUAUUCUUGAAAGUAACAUUUUUUAAUAAGAUUUUCUGGGGGUGGGGUAAUGGGUGAAAUGGGUGAAGGGGAUAAAGAGGUACAAACUUCAGAUUAUAAAUUAGUGAUAAGAACGGAAAUCUAAUUUAGAGAAUAUAACCAAUAAUAUAAUAUCCUGGUAUGAUAACAGGGUAACUACACCUAACAUGAUGAGCAUUUCUAAGUAUGUAAUUAUCUAGUCACCUAUGUUGUACAUAUGAAACCAAUAUAAUGUAUA